ACACAACCCCCAAAUCAGCAAAGACUACCCGCUGAACUUAAGCAUAUCAGUAAGCGGAGGAAAAGAAACUAACCAGGAUUCCCUCAGUAACUGCGAGUGAAGUGGGAUGAGCUCAUGGCUGGAAUUGGCGUUCACGCCGAGUUGUGCCGUUGGGAUGCAUGGCUGGACGCGGCGUGUCAAAGGUCUUGGAAGAGACUGAACCAGAGAGGGCGAAAGUCCCGUGCUGGACACGGCUGUCUGCUUGGCAUGACAUUCACGAGUCGGGUUGCUUGGGAGUGCAGCUCAAAUCGGGUGGUAAAACCCAUCUAAAGCUAAAUAUCAGCAAGAGACCGAUAGCGAACAAGUACCGUGAGGGAAAGAUGAAAAGCACUUUGAAAAGAGAGUCAAAUAGCGCGUGAAAUUGUUGAAAGGGAAGCGAAUGGUGGUGGGGAGAGAGGGGAGGGAUCACUGGGAGAGAGAUCUGCCAGGCACUCCCUCCCCCCCAACUCGACUCGUGUCAGGCGCAGAGCGCAUGGCCAGUCUCGGUCAGUUGCACAGCUCGUGCAGCACCGGAUUGCGCUCGUACUCUGCACCUCACUCGCUGUCGAUCGACGCCACCACUCGACCCGUCUUGAAACACGGACCAAGGAGUCUAACCUGUAUGCGAGUAUUUGAGUGGCAAACUCUGAUGCGCAAUGAAAGUGAUGCACGGGAGGGUGUGACAGCACAUCCCGCACCGUGGGCCGGAGCAGAGUCCACCUCUGCCCCCGAGCUGGAGCAUACACGUUGGGACCCGAUAGAUGGUGAACUAUGCCUGGCCAGCGUAAAGCCAGAGGAAACUCUGGUG
rnacentral:rRNA from 1 species